AGUGAACGCUGGCGGUAGGCCUAACACAUGCAAGUCGAACGGCAGCACAGUAAGAGCUUGCUCUUACGGGUGGCGAGUGGCGGACGGGUGAGGAAUACAUCGGAAUCUACUUUUUCGUGGGGGAUAACGUAGGGAAACUUACGCUAAUACCGCAUACGACCUACGGGUGAAAGCAGGGGAUCUUCGGACCUUUCGCGAUUGAAUGAGCCGAUGGCGGAUUAGCUAGUUGGCGGGGUAAAGGCCCACCAAGGCGACGAUCCGUAGCUGGUCUGAGAGGGUGAACACCCACACUGGAAAUGAGACAAGGUCCAGACUACUUCGGGGGGGAGCAGGGGGGAAUAUUGGGCAAUGGGGGCAAGCCUGAUCCAGCACAACCGGGGGGGGGAAGAAGGCCUUCGGGUGGGUAAGCCCUUUUGGUGGGAAAGAAAAACAGCAGGUUAAUACCCCGCGGUUCUGACGGUACCCAAAGAAUAAGCACCGGCUAACUUCGUG
rnacentral:rRNA from 1 species